AUGAAGCCGGAAUUGCUAGUAAUGGCAGGUCAGCAUACUGCCGUGAAUACGUUCCCGGGCCUUGUACACACCGCCCGUCACACCAUGAGAGUUGGGGAUACCCAAAGCCCGUGAGCCAACUGUAAAGAGGCAGCGGUCUAAGGUAGAAUCAAUGAUUGGGGUGAAGUCGUAACAAGGUAAC
rnacentral:rRNA from 1 species